rnacentral:rRNA from 1 species
UACGAAGGGGGCUAGCGUUGUUCGGAAUUACUGGGCGUAAAGCGCGUGUAGGCGGUUGCCCAAGUCGGGUGUGAAAGCCUUGAGCUCAACUCCAGAAAUGCACUCGGUACUGGGUGACUAGAGGACCGGAGAGGAUAGUGGAAUUCCCAGUGUAGUGGUGAAAUACGUAGAGAUUGGGAAGAACACCAGUGGCGAAGGCGGCUAUCUGGACGGUUUCUGACGCUAAGACGCGAAAGCGUGGGGAGCAAACAGG